GCCUCCUGAGUGCUGGGAUUAAAGGCAUGCGCUACCACUGUCUGGCACAUAAUACUUUCUCCUUUUCCCUUUACAUCUUUCUCUGUGGGCCAGCCAAUGAUGCUGGCAGCCUGUGUAUACACCGCCCUGUAUCAGGUACGCCAGAAAGACAGCACACUCUUCAGACCUGAAGCUCAGACUCAUGGCAUGUGGCCCCUGGCAGAGAUGUCAGGAUUGGGCCUCCUUACAUGGCAGGUGGGAAAAAAGAAACUGGAGGAGACUAGGUCAUUCAACUGGAUGGGAGAAGGUUCAGACGGGCCUGUUGUUUACAGCCCUACUGGGAAAGCUGCAGGCAUUGAGUGGUAACCUCCACACCUGCAGACACAGCCGGAGGCCACCUGCAGCACUUCUCAGGGAUACUGACAGACCAGGCAUGGAUGCUAAGGUUUUCUAUACUAUACAUGAAGCACUCAUUUACUAUAAUGAAACCUUAUACAGGAGAAACAUGUUUCAUGGUCCCAUAUGGCUCAGCCUGUUGUACAAGGAGAGGAGAAGACUAGGAGUUCCUAUUCCUGCCUGCACAUAACUUUCUCUAAAACACUUUUUAUUCCAAGAGCUGCUGACCAGCAACUGCUUCAGGCUCUGUGGUAGCACGCCUGCUAGUGGCUGCCUUCAUCAGCGGUCUGGGGGAUUAGCGGGCAGGACCACGCCGAGUAAGGAGACUGAGGGGAGGAAGGAGAGGAGAAGCUCCUUCCUGGCACCUAUCCAACAGGUGGGCCAGGCCACGCAGGGCUGGCUCUAGGUCACAAUGGUCAUUUUAUGGAGGCAUCACUAGGUUCCAAGCCAGGGAGUGAGGAACAAAUAACUUUAUUUCACAACUGUUCUUGGAGACAAAGCUUCAAGUUACAGAGUCCAAAAUGACGUGAUGUUGUGUGUCAGAACUAAAUGACAAAGCGGUCAGCACCUCUGGAAGCCAAGCUAAGGUGUCCGCCUGCCUGGAGCCACCUCAGGAGAAAGAUGAACCGGAGCAAUGGAACAGCUGCUUGAGAGACAAGUCCACUGCCCCUUCAGCCUGGUCUCAGCAUCUCCAGAGCAUCAUCUGUCUCCCUCGGGAGUGACUGGACUGCUCAGAGCAGUAUACUUGCUGUGGGUCCAGCUCCAACAGCGAAGAUCUGAAGCCUCGAUUGGGAUCAAAACCUUACUGGGCCCAGGAAACCAGAUAUCCCGCCCCUCCGAUGCCAAUGCAGUCUUCAGCCCUGUCCCGGGGAAAAGACCAUCUCCAGACAAGGAGAAAAAGUCUCGGCUGUUAAUCUUAACCUGAGUGCAAAUUCCCCUCAAUUCUCCACAGGCUUCCCCUGACGUGCUCAUCCCAUGGGGAGCUUUUCCUUAGCUCGGGGGCAUUUGGAAGUAGAGUGGGCUGUUGUAAGAUACACCCAACUUGAGCGGUGGGGGGGGGGUGGUGUAUUAAAAGUGGUUGAGUGCUUGUCUGGCAUGCAUGAGGUGGCCCUGGGUUUGAGCGAAAGAAAAAAAAAAAAAGAGGAAAAGAAAAAGAAAUAAACAGACCAAAACUAAGCAAACAAACAAACAAAACUCAAAACACAAUUAUGCAGUUAAUAGAUAAUUCCAUUCUAGUAAUGCUAUUUCCAUACAAGUUUACAGUGUAUCCUGUGGCUAAUAUAUGUGGCUUAUUUCCUACCUCAUUAUACUUUGAUCAAUUUUUUUGUUUUGUUUUGGUUUUUGAGACAGUGUAUCUCUGUAGCCCUAGCUGUCCUGGAACUUG